rnacentral:misc_RNA from 1 species
CUCUCCAGAAAAAAGUGAUGCAUGACAGGUCUGAAGUUCUCACAAAUUUCCUGGAAUGCUUUACGCUUGUCCUUUUCAUUUGAUAUAUGCUCUCUGCAUUUGAGAAAUGACCAGUCUCCAAUUCCAUACCGACCAUGGGCACCACCAUUUCUUGUGCUUGCUAUAAGAUAUUCCCCAAGAGGAAGAGUGCCAUUAACCCAUUCAAGAACGCCAGCACUUGGAGUAAAAGGAAUUACCUUGUACGUACGCACUCCUAAUCUUCUCUUCCAUGUAUCUCUAUUAUUCUGUAAAAAGGUGUUAACCAGACCAAAAAAUUGUUCCAUAACAGCAUCUUGUCUAAGGUCAUCAUUUCCAGAUUUUGCUAGCUGUCGAUAUUUUCUACCAUC